rnacentral:rRNA from 1 species
CCUACGGGAGGCAGCAGUCGGGAAUAUUGCGCAAUGGAGGAAACUCUGACGCAGUGACGCCGCGUGCAGGAAGAAGGUUUUCGGGUUGUAAACUGCUUUAGACAGGGAAGAAAAAAGACAGUACCUGUAGAAUAAGCUCCGGCUAACUACGUGCCAGCAGCCGCGGUAAUACGUAGGGAGCAAGCGUUAUCCGGAUUCAUUGGGUUUAAAGGGUGCGCAGGCGGGCCUUUAAGCCGGCGGUGAAAUCGCGGGGCUCAACCCCGCCGAGCCGUCGGAACUGGGGGCCUUGAGUGCGGCGGAGGCAUGCGGAAUGCGCGGUGUAGCGGUGAAAUGAAUAGAUAUCGCGCAGAACCCCGAUUGCGAAGGCAGCGUGCCGUGCCGCCACUGACGCUGAGGCACGAAAGCGCGGGGAUCGAACAGGAUUAGAUACCCGAGUAGUC